AGAAUGAAGAUGCUUUGGGAUCUGACUUCGGACUGUAAGAAUGAUCACACUCUGAAUGGGUGCAAAGGUAGCAGAUGACCUUCAAAGGAUGGUGAGAUUAAAUUUACCUACACCUAGAGAAAUAAUUGGAGCACAUGUCUAUUUGGGCCAAGAGGAUAAAGGCCAGUAGAGGAAUCAGAUCAAAGAACUUCCUCAGGGAAGUGUGCAGAGAACUGGAGUGGACCUUCCCCUAGGAAGCUGCCCAAAACGAGAGUGCUGGAAAGCUGGCCGCAGUGAGGCACUUCAGAUCCCAAGGGUAUGCUGGGGAAGCUGCCACAGGUGGGAGCACUUGCUGCUGGUCCCUAGGCACUGUUGAAACAACUGCACUGUCUGCAGGAGCUCAACAAGGCCAUUUGGUUCUGAAUACCACAUUCAAGAGGAGCAUUGUACACUGGAAUUUGCAAACCGAAACUGGAAGAUAGAAGUUUAUUUCUCUCUCCAGUCAUAAAGCUGUUGGAAAUUGAUGCUGGGAGCUGCUAGUGACCAUCUUUCCAGUUCUAUGUGUGUUUGUGUUGGUGAGUGGUAUCAACUUCUACCUCUAUCCAUAGAAAAAUAACAAUAUUUAUCCUUCUAAAUCUGCUAUUUCCUGAAUGAGCAAAUUAUCUUACAUCUGUUUUCAAUAAGGGGAUGGGAUUUUAAUACUAGUGCAGACAUGGUGUCAAAACUGCAGGCCCUAUGUAUGACAAAGUGUCAGAUCUGGGCUGUAUUCAUAAAGAUAAACAGAAGAGUGCUCCAUGGAGAUGCCUUCAUAAGCCAGGGCACAUGUAAGACUGUCAUCAUAAUUAGCACACAAUCUAAAGCUACAAAACACCAAGGCAGUCUACUACCCUGUGAUUGUUUGCCCCUAUAAUGAUUGGAAGCAUUCCAAUGACUGGAAUUACAGAUAAUAGAGCAACUUAGGAUAAAUUAAAAUAUCAGUAUCUUUAAAAUGUUUAGAAUAUAGGAAGAAUAAACUGAAUAAUAGAUAUUAUUUUUUGAAAAUGAUAGGAAGGCAUGAAAAAGAAAAAACAAUUUCAGAGAUUUAAAAAAAGUCAUUGAAGUGAAAAAGUCAAUAGAUGGGCUAAAUGGUAGACUAACUUCAUCGAAAAGAGAAUUAAUGAAAUGCAAAAUAGAAUUGAAGAAAUAAGAAUACAGC